AAUACGUAUGGUACCGUAUGCAGAGGAAGAAACUUCACAAAAAUUUCAACAUGUGCAGCAGAUGUGAGAAUGAAAUAUAUGACCACUGUACAGUCAAUGACGUAGUUCUGCGGUAAACAACAUCAAUAUGCUAAUAAAGAAGCAUUACAAUCUUUCCAAUAGUGUUCAACAUGUUAUGAAAUAUGGUGGUCGCGGUUUCAUCAAUGCAAAAAAUAUUUGCCGGUUUAACAGCGUGAUGCAAUUAUUGCAAAUAGUUUUCGUGUCCAUAUAUUUGAGCAUUGC